CCCUUCUCAAUAAAGCACCCUGCUAAAACUGCAUCAUGUGGCCAUGUAAGCAUGGGUACACCAGGGAAGGAUAUUAAAGGCACAGUUUAAAAAUGAGGCUAUGGGGGGACAUUAAUGUCCGGUGUCCGUUGGCUCAAUAUCCUGUGUUACACAU